CUAUUUCCUUAUUCAGUUUCUAUUUCCUUAUUGGAUUUUCAUUUCCUUAUUCGAUUUCCAUUUCCUUAUUCGAUUUUUAUUUCCUAAUUCGGUUUCUUUUUCCUUUUUCAAUAUUCAUUUCCUUUUUCGGUUUCUAGUUCCUUAUUCGGUUUCUAUUUUCUUAUUGGAUUUUCAUUUCCUUAUUCAAUUUCCAUUUCCUUAUUCGGUUUCUUUUUCCUUAUUCAGUUUCUUUUUCCUUAUUUGGUUUCUUUUUCCUUUUUCAAUAUUCAUUUCUUUUUUCGGUUUCUAUUUCCUUAUUCGGUUUCUAUUUCCUUUUUCGAUUUUCAUUUCCUUAUUCGGUUUCCAUUUCCUUUUUCGAUAUUCAAAUUUUGAAAAAUAUUACAAGUCCAAACUGAAUUUUUUUUUUCCUUCAAAUUUUUUUUUCCUCAAAAUUUUUUUU
rnacentral:lncRNA from 1 species